GCCCCUAUGGCGCAGCUGGUUAGCGCAGUGGACUUUUAAUCCAUUGGUCCUCGGUUCGAGUCCGAGUGGGGGCA
rnacentral:tRNA from 1 species